rnacentral:rRNA from 1 species
UUGAAAGGGAAACGAUUGAAGUCAGUCAUACCAACGGGAAAUCAACCUUUUGAGCUUGGUCUCGUGGGUUUUGAAGAGUUUCAAAGCCUUCGGACUCGCGGGAUUGGGAUCUCUUGGUGUACUUUCUCGUACGGUUAGUCAACAUCGGUUUUGAAUGUCAUAAAAUGACUGGAGGAAUGUAGCUUCUUGAAGUGUUAUAGCCUUUGGUAGAUGUGAUGUUUGAGACCGAGGAUUGCAACGGAUACCCUUCAGGGCUAUUCGUCUGAUCUCUGAUACGUUGCCUUGAUGUUGAAAGCUUGCUUAUGGUGUCAGGGUAUUACGGUCAAAAGGUUAGAACGAAUUACAUUCGUUAAGGAUGUUGACGUA